UACGGAGGGUGCAAGCGUUAUCCGGAUUCACUGGGUUUAAAGGGUGCGUAGGUGGGCAGGUAAGUCAGUGGUGAAAUCUCCGGGCUUAACCCGGAAACUGCCGUUGAUACUAUCUGUCUUGAAUGUAGUGGAGGUGAGCGGAAUAUGUCAUGUAGCGGUGAAAUGCGUAGAUAUCGGGAGGAACACCUGUGGCGAAAGCGGCGCACUGGACCAUAACUGACGCUGAGGCGCGAAAGCUAGGGGAGCAAACAG
rnacentral:rRNA from 1 species